rnacentral:rRNA from 1 species
GACGAACGCUGGCGGCGUGCUUAACACAUGCAAGUCGAACGGAAAGGCCCUGCUUUUGUGGGGUGCUCGAGUGGCGAACGGGUGAGUAACACGUGAGUAACCUGCCCUUGACUUUGGGAUAACUUCAGGAAACUGGGGCUAAUACCGGAUAGGAGCUCCUGCUGCAUGGUGGGGGUUGGAAAGUUUCGGCGGUUGGGGAUGUACUCGCGGCUUAUCAGCUUGUUGGUGGGGUAGUGGCUUACCAAGGCUUUGACGGGUAGCCGGCCUGAGAGGGUGACCGGCCACAUUGGGACUGAGAUACGGCACAGACUCCUACGGGAGGCAGCAGUGGGGAAUAUUGCACAAUGGGCGGAAGCCUGAUGCAGCAACGCCGCGUGCGGGAUGACGGCCUUCGGGUUGUAAACCGCUUUCGCCUGUGACGAAGCGUGAGUGACGGUAAUGGGUAAAGAAGCACCGGCUAACUACGUG